UCGUCCGAAGACACAUUAGUUUUCGCACUCUAACUUUAGUUUAAGUGAAUGGAUCUCUAUGAAAUUUUACCAAAAGGUUCAAUACCACAAAAGGAAGGUGGGGAUUGAUUUUGGGGGUUAUGGUACCCACAGUGAAGGAAUUAGGGGCCAAAAAGGGGCAAAAAAUAAGCAUUUUUGUAACUUCCAGACAUAACUUGUGUGUAAGUGUAUGGAUCUCUCUGACAUUGUACCACAAGGUUCCAUAUCACAAAGGGAGUGCUGGGAUUGAUUUUGGGGGUAAUUGCCUCCAAAUUUUAGGAAUUAGGGGCCAAAAAGGGGCAAAAAACAAGCAUUUUUCUAGUUUCAUGACAAUAACUUGUGUGUUAGUGUAUGGAUCUUUAUGAAAUUGUACUACAAGGUUCCAUAUCACAAAGGGAAAGCUGGAAUUGAGUUUGGGGGUAAUUGCCUAAAAAGUUUAGGAAUAAGGGGCCAAAAAGGGGCCAAAAAUAAGCAUUUUUCUAGUUUCCAGACAAUAACUUGUGUUCAAAUGUAUGGAUCUCUCUGAAAUUGUACUGCAAGGUACCAUACCACAAAGGGAAGGCUGGGAUUGAGUUUGGGGGUGAUGAAUCAUAAGGGGGUUCAUAAAAUUUGGGGGGAGGGGGGUUUUUUUUUCUUCCUUUUUUUUCUUUUUUUCCUUUUUUUUUCUUUUAAAAUUUUCCAUUUUAAGUUGGUUAUUUCUGAUUUAUAUUUAAAAGCAAAUAAUAAUGAUAUGGUAGGAGAUACACACCAAAUAGGAUGUGUAACUUAUUAUAUAAUAAGUAUUGUGCAAUAGCAAGAAAUUUUCAAUUGCACAGUAUUGCACAAUAGCAAGAAAUCUUCAAUUGCACAGUAUUGCACAAUAACAAGAAAUCUUCAAUUGCACAGUAUUGCGCAAUAGCAAGAAAUAUCCAAUAGCACAAUAUUGCGCAAUAGCAAGAAAUUGUCAAUUGUACAGUAUUGCACAAUAGCAAGAAAUAUUCAAUUGCACAGUAUUGUGCAAAAGAAGAUACUUCGUAUAAAUUGCUUAUUUCUUGACCAAUUUCAAUGGGGUUUUAUUCUUGAAUUCUCUGGGUUCUUUAAUAUGCUGAAUCUAACCGUGUAUUAAGUUUUUGGAUUUUGGGCCCCGUUUUUAAAUUGGUCCACAUUGAGGUCCAAAGGGUCCAAAAUUAAACUUUGUUUGAUUUCAUCAAAAAUUGAAUUAUUGGGGUUCUUUGAUAUGCCGAAUCUAACCGUGUAUUUAGAUUCUUAAUUUUUGGUUUCGUUUUCAAAUUGGUCUACAUUAAGGUCCAAAGGGUCCAAAAUUAAACUUAGUUUGAUUUUAACAAAAAUUGAAUUCUUAGGGUUCUUUGAUAUGCUGAAUCUAAACAUGUAUUUAGAUUUUUGAUUAUGGGCCCAGUUUUCAAGUUGGUCCAAAUCGGGGUCCAAAAUUAAACUUUGUUUGAUUUCAACAAAAAUUGAAUAUAUGGGGUUCUUUGAUAUGCUGAAUCUAACCAUGUAUUUAGAUUUUUGAUUUUUGGGCCCUGUUAUCAACUUUGUCCACAUUGAGGUCAAAAGGGUCCAAAAUUAAACUU